AGUAUUAUCAAGGACAAAAAUAUGGGGAUUUCCCCAUUAGAAAAACACAAAAUGGGAAUCUCAAUGUUAUUAGACCAAAACCUUUCAUAGAUUUACUGCAAAUUUACCUCGGAUAAGUAACAUGUACGGAACACGAACAAUUCUUAUAAAGCCGGAGAUGGUGUCUCAGUGUCACGAUGAAGUUAACUUCCUCUUCUCGCCAGCUCUGCUCCUUUCUUAAAUUCUCAAAACCAACCAUCCAUCACCUUUCCCGCUCGCUAACUACCCAAAAUGCUCAUAACCCACGAAACAAUCCACUCUCUUGCCAGACCCAAAUCUUCAAUUACAAAGAAAACCAAUCAAAUUCACUUCAUUUGGAGUUCUUUUCUCAGUUUCAACAAGAUGGGUCUUUCUCAAGCCCUUUCACUUUCAACAAAAUCAUAUCUGUUUGUGCCAAAUCAGCUUCUCUUAGUACCGGCAUUCAACUUCAUUCAACGGUUAUCAAAAUGGGUUUCACUUCAAAUCUCUAUAUUUGCAGCGGGCUUAUUUUCAUGUAUGGUAAAAAUGGUGAAAUUUUUAGUGCUCAAAACCUGUUUGAUGAAUUGCCUGAAAGAAAUGCGGUUUGUUGGAACUCUUUAAUUUCUGGUUAUAUUCAUGUUAAUUCCCCGGAAAUUGCUGUUAAACAUUUUAUAAAAAUGUUAAGAACUGGAAUAAAGGUUACCCCUUUUACUAUUUCAGAUGUUUUAGUUGGUUGCUCGCUGUUGGAAAAAGAAGAGCUUGGGGCUCAAGUUCAUUGCUUCUGUCUGAAAGUUGGGUUUUUUUAUAAUGUUGUUAUAGGAACAGGGUUGCUUGAUAUGUACUCGAAGUGUUGGAAUAUUGAGAAUUCGAGGCGGGUUUUUGAUAAAAUGAUUGACAAAAAUGUAAUUACUUGGACAGCUAUGGUAUCAGGGUGCGCACAGAAUGGAUUGCCUAAUGAGGCAAUGGCUUUAGUAAAGGAGAUGUUGGGUUUGGGGCUCAGGUUGAACCAUGUGACGUAUAAUAGCUUAUUGAGUUCGUUUUUGAGUCCAGAUUAUUUGGAUUGUUGUAGACAAGUUCAUUGUCGGAUAAUUCAGGAUGGUUUGGAAAGUAAUGUGUAUAUUGCAGUUACCCUUUUGACUGUGUAUUCGAAAUGUAGUUGUAGUUUGGAGGAUUUUCAAAAGUUGUGUGAAGGUGUAUCUUGGUGGGAUCAAGUCUCAUGGAAUGCAGUCAUUGCUGGUUUCUGUAACUUAAGUUAUGAUGACAAAGCUAUGAAAUGUUUUGUGGAAAUGAGGCAGGCAGGGAUUAAUAUAGACUUUUUUACAUUUACAAGCAUGUUAGGAGCAAUAGGGAAUAGUUCAGCCCUUGAAGGGGGAAAGCAAAUGCAUGCUCUUAUUUUGAAAACUGGGAAUGCUUUGAAUCCCUAUGUGCAAAAUGGGCUUGUUUCUAUGUAUGCUAGAUGUGGUGUGAUCAAUGAUUCAAAAAUGGUGUUCUCAUUGAUGGAAGAACAUGACGUGAUCUCAUGGAACUCGCUGCUAUCAGGAUGCGCUCAUCACGGAUAUGGUAGAGAGGCUCUGGAGUUGUUUGAACAGAUGAGAAAGACAGAGAUUACACCCGAUAGCACCACGUUCCUUGCAGUACUAUCUGCUUGCAGCCAUGUUGGAUUUCUUGACAAAGGACUUGAAUACUUUGAGUUGAUGAAAAAUGAUGCCUUGCUUGAACUGCCUGGAGUGGAGCACUAUGCUGCUGUUAUUAAUCUUUUUGGUAGGGCAGCGUAUCUGAAUGAAGCAGAAGCCUUUAUUAAUAGCAUGCCAAUCGAGCCAGGACCAUCUGUUUACAAAGCUCUUCUAAGUGCUUGUGAGGUUUAUGGAAAUAUAGAAAUUGCUACACGUUCAGCAAAUAGGCUUCUAGAGCUGUGGCCUAAUGAUCCUGCAACAUAUGUGCUGCUAUCAAAAGUACUGAAAAUGGGGAAUGACUGGGAUGAUGCAGCAGGUGUGUGUAAGCUAAUGUCGGAUAGAGGAGUGAGGAAGAAUCCAGGCUGUAGUUGGAUUUGAGUUAUCGAAUGACUCAGUCUCUAUUGCAAUGUGAAACUGUCAACCAUCAUCGAGAUAGAAGAAAAUCAGCUUUAUCUUGGUGUUCUCUCAAAAGGAUGGAAGAGAGAAUUUAGACUAUCCUUUCAUUGAAGACACUCUUUUCCCAAGUCUGGAUUUUCAAAUCACUUGUAACUGUUUUUGGUGAUGCAUAGCCAUAUAUUUAUGAAAGGAUAACAAGACCUAAAUUUUGCAGCCAGCUUAGUUGUAUUAUGCUGAGAAUGUGCAUGGAACUGCAUCAUCAUUUCAGCUAGUGGAAGCACCAUAUGUUUGCAAAGGUUAUUGUCAAAUUCCUGCCCCAUUGGACAAGAGGCCAAAGAAGAGGCAUCUCAGUACUUCAUCGAAUUAUGUGGCAAUUGUUUACCGUCCAUGCAAAAACACCGGAGAGUCAUGCUCCAGUAAUGUUGUCUCUUAUAUGUCUCUCUUUGGGUUGACAUCUAGAACGCAAAACUGAUUGUGGAAGACUUUCAAGACGGGAAAGAACACGAAAUUCAAUCAGUCAGCAAUUGGAGA